GAGUAUUGCAAAGAGCAGCUGAAAUUGUUUUCGGCAGUUUACUCAUAGCUUGUACUUGUUCGAGUCAAGCUAAUUUAUCUGAAUUUAAUACACCUGGUUGGGGCUCAUAGAAGGCGGUAUUUACAAAAGUUAGAAACAGCUAGCUUAGAAACCGACACACACAUCCUCACGUGUUGAUCAAAUUACAGACUUUGCCUGAAUUCACACCACAUGAUUUAUAUCACUGCCAUAAACGUCGUUUAUUCUUACACCGGAGCAGCAAUAAGAACGUACAAAAGACGAGAUACUAGCCAGUUUUUUUUCCAUACAUGCUAUGCUACAAGACGGUGCGGCACUGUUUCCAUGGUUACCAAUGGCUUUCAGGAGCGCACAGGUUCUUUUGACGUCCGUCAUGGCGGAGCGGGCGGACUUUGGAAGAGAGUGACGUCACGUACAAAGGGUCAAUAAGAGAUCCAGCUGAGGAGGGUCGUUGUUGCAGUGGCCUGGAUGGAGAGUGCUCGGCGGGUGGAGUGUUUUGGGAGAACCGUCUGCCCAGAGAGCGUUGCCUCUUCUUGCCGUUCUUCUGCCCCUGAGACAGCGAACUUGCCUGCUGUGAUCUGAGCUGCUCCAGCGCGCGUAAAGGUGGUCUGCAGUCCGGGAGAGAAGACGUGGCUCUGUGGCCUUUGAGGACUGGAGAUAACUCCGGCUUACCUCGGUGUGAGGAAUGAGCGAGGUGCAUGUCUUUGACCCUGGAGACUGGGUCCCUGGCCGCGGCACUGCGGGGCCGCUCUCUGGGAACCCCGGUGAUAUCCUUAUAUGAGUCAUCUUCUUCAUCGGAGUCAGCUGGGAGGAACUUGACGGCGCGGUGGUGCAACCAGCAGCCCUCCGCGGAACUCAGGCUGUGGCUGCGGGGCCGGGAGACCCACAGAUCCUGGCCCCUAGGAGUGUGCUUGUGGGUUUCUUGAGGGGUGCUGAACAUCAGCCAGUAGGGGGGACAAGACGGAACCUGACUCACCGGCUGCUGCCCAGUUAAAAUCCAUCUCUCCAGAUUGAAUCCAUACUGCCGGAAGAAAACACACCUUUAAUUUAACAACACCUUCCAAAAGUAUAACAUUUCUGCAUUUUAUCAAGUUAUACCUAGUCAGAGAUGGGUAGUAGGUACAUUUACACACUUCAGAAACAUUUUGGGAAAAAAUUAACUUUUUUCUAUUCACUAUAAAGUAUGGAGUCCACUGUGUACAAAAAGUACACCUUUAGUUUUUGUUAAAGUUUAAAAAUUUUAUAUUGAAAGAAACUGAUUUGGAAAAGUUUUUCUUUUGCCAGCAUUUCUUAUUCUGAAAUUAUGAUCUAUUUAAACUUUGGUCUUUAAAAUACCAAAAUUUUGGCAUAACUAAUAGGUCAUUUUUAAAUAUUAAAUGAUUGAUAUGUACUAAAAUUCUUUUUUGCUCAUACCUGUGAUUUUAACUACUUGUUGCUUUUUCAAAAUGUUUUGAAGUAGUGCUACCCUUUACUUUAGUACAAUUUUGUGUGCCUUACACACCUCAGUUUCUUGUGAUCAACACAACACAGUGUAUAAAGGUGAAGUAGAAGGAAAAUUAUACAUAAUUUUCCAAAUUUGUGUGGAUUUCCAUUCACACCCUUCAGUCAGUAUUUUGUGAAAUUGUCUUUUACACAUGUAGAAGUUUUUGGUGAGGUAUGUUGCCUUUUCCACAGUAAUAUUAAUCAAAAAUAUAAAUGAAACUUAGCCAGCAUUAAACUUAUUGGGAGGGAAAAAAGAAGAAAGCAACCUCAGUUUCCUGCAUGAUCUGAUGGCAUUGUGGUACAGAAAUAUCAGGUAAAGUCGACAUCUGUAUCUCAACACCUAACGGUCCCAAAGGGGUUUGAAAAGGAACGUCCUCCAGAAUAUUCAUCAUCACCAAAACACACCAACAAAUCACCUGCGUGAGGAGAGUCACAAAGAGUUUGAAUAUUUCUGGUUACAUGCCUUUUUUUUUGGCUUAAAAUAAUUUCUUACCUUUGCCAGGUGCUGUUUUGCAGGUCUUGAGCGGUCUGAAUCAUACACAGGUGUCUGCAGUGAUAAACCUCUUCAUCACUAA